AUUGAACGCUGGCGGCAUGCCUUACACAUGCAAGUCGAACGGCAGCACGGGUGCUUGCACCUGGUGGCGAGUGGCGAACGGGUGAGUAAUACAUCGGAACAUGUCCUGUAGUGGGGGAUAGCCCGGCGAAAGCCGGAUUAAUACCGCAUACGAUCUACGGAUGAAAGCGGGGGACCUUCGGGCCUCGCGCUAUAGGGUUGGCCGAUAGCUGAUUAGCUAGUUGGUGGGGUAAAGGCCUACCAAGGCGACGAUCAGUAGCUGGUCUGAGAGGACGACCAGCCACACUGGGACUGAGACACGGCCCAGACUCCUACGGGAGGCAGCAGUGGGGAAUUUUGGACAAUGGGCGAAAGCCUGAUCCAGCAAUGCCGCGUGUGUGAAGAAGGCCUUCGGGUUGUAAAGCACUUUUGUCCGGAAAGAAAUCCUUGGCUCUAAUACAGUCGGGGGAUGACGGUACCGGAAGAAAAAGCACCGGCUAACUACGUG
rnacentral:rRNA from 1 species